CGGGGCGUGGCGCAGCCCGGCAGCGCGCGUGAAUUGGGAUCACGAGGUCAGCGGUUCAAGUCCGCUCGCCCCGA
rnacentral:tRNA from 1 species